rnacentral:rRNA from 1 species
AUGGCGGCCGUCCAGUCUGUGAAGUCCGUAUUGAGCCUGCUAACAUGGAUUCUGUGGAUAUAUGUGCUUCUGGGUGAAUAUCACUAUGGCUAUUUGAAGUUGAUUGUUCUUUCAUGGCCCUUUGUGAUGUUUGAGCAACAUUUCAAGAGGCUACAGCUCGCAAUACCAUUACUGUUUCGCCUGGGGCAUUGGGCAAUAUGGUUUUGCGCCCUUGUUUGUAUGACAGAUCUGGGUUGCAGCUAUAUCAGGGCUGCUGUGCUGAUUUCUCCAUUUCUCUCUAGGAAGACAGCGCGAAAGGCAGCAUGGUACACACGCAAGACUUUCCAUUACAUGAGAGUUGCCCUGCCUGCAGUUUUAGUCAUCUUGUGCGAGGGGGUGAGACACAUGUUGCCGACUGAUCUAGCAAGGCUUUUUUGCCAAUGUGUUCUUACCAUCGUCAUGGCCAUAGUGGCGUGGAUACCAUCAGUAUUCCCUGGGCUGAAGCGGUUUCUGCCUCGGGUCACUUAUAUCUCCAUAGAACAGUAUCUAGAUGAGGGGCAUCCGGUGACUACAUUCCAUGAAACAUUGAACUUUCAGGUUUAUACCAGCGAUGGCCGGAACUUGUGGCAGGGAUUCAUUGAUGUCAUUCUGAAUGCCUAUGAUCAGAACAAGAGCUGGGCUGGCAACUUCCAGGAUGAGGAUCUUCGAAUAGGUGCAAAUGAGUAUAAGAUCGACAGGGAGGCAACCGAGGAUGCUACAUAUGAGAACCUCCUCCUGGAUCUUGCACAAAUUGCUAAUCUGUUGAUCAGACACUUCAUCACGGAAAACCAGUUCCCUCCUGGCUGUGUACAAGAGCUGUAUGCCUCGUUGACAGAACCUCUGCUGCCUGCUGUUCCAGUGCCUUCCCCUCAGGCUAUACAGAAAUUCCUUAAGUUCAUGAGGAACUACCCUGGACUAAAGCACCCAAGGAGAACAAGCACAUUUAUCAGCAAAGUAUUUCAGGCUGCCAGAGCCAUGGGGGCAGCUCAGUAUGCCAGUGUCAUGACAGCGGUAUCAAGGGUACAAGUGCCGCAAGACUGGAUGAAUGUGACUGAAGAAUUGGGAUAUCCACUGCUGAACCGUACGUUCUGGUUUGAUAGGUUGAAUCCUUACAACCAGAUGAAUCUAUAUAAUGAUGGUCCAGAUGAGUUGUUCCGGUUCUUGAGGAAUCUGUUUGAGCACGGUGGUGACUACGAUCGACUUGGAAGGCAGAUGUUACAUGACAUGGAAGAUCUAGACUAUCUUGCUGCGGAGGUCUUUGCGAGCGGCAUGGCCCAGCUUGUAUGGCAUUUGGUGUUGGAGUGUGAAAUGACGGGGCUGUUGGAGCAUGCAUGGAAGGAUUACUCUAUAUGA